rnacentral:rRNA from 1 species
AUUGAACGCUGGCGGUAGGCUUAACACAUGCAAGUCGGGCGAGAGGCGGACGGGUGAGUAAUGUCUGGGAUACUGCCUGCUGGAGGGGGAUAACUAGUGGAAACGGUAGCUUAUACCGAAUAUCAUCAUAUGUGCACAGAUGGGAUUAGCUAGUAGGGGGGGUAAUGGCUCACCUAGGCGACGAUCCCUAGCUGGUCUGAGUGGAUGACCAGCCACACUGGAACGGAGACACGGUCCAGACUCCUACGGGAGGCAGGAGUGGGGAAAUGUGCACAAUGGGCGGAAGCCUGAUGCAGCGAUGCCGCACGUGGGAAGACUUCUUUCGGGUUGGAAAGCACCGUCAGCGACGAGGCGUAGCUCGCCGAAGAAGCUACGGCUAAUUCUGUGCCAGCAGCCGCGGUAAUAC